UAGGGCAGGAACUACCAGUUGUCAGCACAGCACCAUCCCACAUUGCUCUUCUAAUGGAGACUUUCACCCCAGAUGUUCUUUCUCGUCUGAUGGGAAGGAUCCAAGUGAAAAAAUUGAGGCUCAAAGAAGUCCACCAAAUUGAGAGUGAAGUAGGGGAAACAGCAUUUAACGCUUACAUUCUAAUGAUUUGUGUAAGAGCAGCAGGACAAGCUAUACAAAGGAAAAGGUGGAAUUAUCAGGAUGGAAUUAAAGAUGCUUCCAAACAGAGGGGAUAUCUCAAGCCAUGACUCAGAGGCUUAAAGAGAGGGAGAAAGAGGAUUUUAUUGGACAGGAUGAGGGUCCAUUCGAACUCAUAUUUGUAACCCCACCGC
rnacentral:lncRNA from 10 species